rnacentral:rRNA from 1 species
AUUGAACGCUGGCGGCAGGCCUAACACAUGCAAGUCGAGCGGAUGAAGGGAGCUUGCUCCUGGAUUCAGCGGCGGACGGGGGAGUAAUGCCUAGGAAUCUGCCUGGUAGUGGGGGAUAACGUCCGGAAACGGGCGCUAAUACCGCAUAAGUCCUGAGGGAGAAAGUGGGGGAGCUUCGGACCUCACGCUAUCAGAUGAGCCUAGGUCGGAUUAGCUAGUUGGUGGGGUAAAGGCCUACCAAGGCGACGAUCCGUAACUGGUCUGAGAGGAUGAUCAGUCACACUGGAACUGAGACACGGUCCAGGCUCCUACGGGAGGCAGCAGUGGGGAAUAUUGGACAAUGGGCGAAAGCCUGAUCCAGCCAUGCCGCGUGUGUGAAGAAGGUCUUCGGAUUGUAAAGCACUUUAAGUUGGGAGGAAGGGCAGUAAGUUAAUACCUUGCUGUUUUGACGUUACCAACAGAAUAAGCACCGGCUAACUUCGUG